rnacentral:rRNA from 1 species
UCAGGCCUAACACAUGCAAGUCGAACGAUGAAGCUGGAGCUUGCUCCGGUGGAUUAGUGGCGAACGGGUGAGUAGCACGUGAGCAAUCUGCCCUUGACUCUGGGAUAACUGCGGGAAACUGUAGCUAAUACCGGAUACGAGAUUUGGAGGCAUCUCCGGAUCUGGAAAGAAUUUCGGUCAAGGAUGAGCUCGCGGCCUAUCAGCUUGUUGGUGAGGUAAUGGCUCACCAAGGCGACGACGGGUAGCCGGCCUGAGAGGGUGACCGGCCACACUGGGACUGAGACACGGCCCAGACUCCUACGGGAGGCAGCAGUGGGGAAUAUUGCACAAAAAGGGAAAGCCUGAUGCAGCAACGCCGCGUGAGG